rnacentral:rRNA from 1 species
UCCACCGAUUGACUAAGGUUUCCAGAGGAAGGCUCGUCCGCUCUGGGUUAGUCGGGUCCUAAGCUGAGGCCGACAGGCGUAGGCGAUGGAUAACAGGUUGAUAUUCCUGUACCACCUAUAAUCGUUUUAAUCGAUGGGGGGACGCAGUAGGAUAGGCGAAGCGUGCGAUUGGAUUGCACGUCUAAGCAGUAAGGCUGAGUAUUAGGCAAAUCCGGUACUCGUUAAGGCUGAGCUGUGAUGGGGAGAAGACAUUGUGUCUUC